rnacentral:lncRNA from 1 species
CACUCUGCUGUGAGUGCCUGAGGAGACAGGACUACCUAGAAAUGCCUGAAAUGCCUCCUUUUCUACAAGCAUUCCCUCUAGCACGAGCUUUUCAUCCCUCCUACCGGAAGUGACUGCAUGUGCCCUCCCCUUGAACGGUACUAUAUGGCAAUCAAAGGCACAUUUUUCUGGUUAGGUCUCAUGGGAUGCUCACUCCGAAUGACUCACACCAUGCUGUGGGAAGCCCACAGUGGAGCAUGUGAGAAAGCUCCAUGAAGGGGCCUCAAGGGUUUUGCCAGAUCAGUUGAUAUCAGUAAGCAUUGUAUCAGCACUCCACAAAAGAGUACCUCUUGGUGGCUUCUACUUCCAGUCAGUGGGCCACCCUCAGUCACCAGGUCUUCCCAGCUGACACCUCACACAAAAGGGAGCAUAAACCAGCUCUUCUAAUUUCUGAUCCACCAAACUGAGUCCUGAAAUGCCUUGUUAUACAGAAGAAGUGGAAAGAAGGGCCAGAAGUGAACCUUAGCAGCCCUUAUUUUUACUUGGAUCCUCUUGACAUCAAAUGCCACCAACUGGACUGGACCUGUUUUCCUUUCUGAAAUUGGUUCUGAUCACCCCCACUCAUCAGAGUUUCUCUAUGGACCUCAAUUUUGUAGAGAGAGAUUUAGCAAAAUAAAUAAAAAAAGUACCAACUGGC